UACGAAGGGGGCUAGCGUUGCUCGGAAUCACUGGGCGUAAAGCGCACGUAGGCGGACUCUUAAGUCGGUGGUGAAAUCCUGGAGCUCAACUCCAGAACUGCCUUCGAUACUGGGAGUCUCGAGUUCGGGAGAGGUGAGUGGAACUGCGAGUGUAGAGGUGAAAUUCGUAGAUAUUCGCAAGAACACCAGUGGCGAAGGCGACUACCUGGCCUGUUUCUUGACGCUGAGGCGCGAAAGCUAGGGGAGCAAACGGG
rnacentral:rRNA from 1 species